GCAUUGGAGACCAGCUGCCUCCACAAUCAUGCCCCCCUGCUUUCCUGGUAGUUGCUGUCGUUGUACCAAAAAGUGCAUAAGGGGUGGACGUUACUUAACCAUCAUUUCAAUCCUGGGGACAUGGAGUCAUUGCUAACCAGGGCCGGUCACUGCUAGCCAAAACAAGACUUCAUAGGUGCAUAUCAGAGAGCAGGUUCGGCUUCCUGGCAGCGCCAUCGACCUCCCAUCGACUGACCAGAGUCUCGG